rfam:Oryza sativa (indica cultivar-group) chromosome 3, whole genome shotgun sequence.
AAAGACCGCACUUUUGCAUUGUUUAUGUCCAACGUUUGACUAUCCGUUUUAUUUAAAAAAAUAUAUGAUUACUAUUUUUAUUGUUGUUAGAUGAUAAAACAUGAAUAAUACUUUAUGUGUGACUAAUUUUUAGAAAAUCCCUUUAAAUUUUUUAAAUAAGACGGACAGUCAAACGUUUGAUAAAAAAUUCACAACUGUAUUUAAA